GGUGUUCGGGUUGUCAUGCCAAUGGCAUUGCCCGGUAGCUAAAUGCGGAAGAGAUAAGUGCUGAAAGCAUCUAAGCACGAAACUUGCCCCGAGAUGAGUUCUCCCUGACCCUUUAAGGGUCCUGAAGGAACGUUGAAGACGACGACGUUGAUAGGUCGGGUGUGUAAGCGUAGCGAUACGUUGAGCUAACCGAUACUAAUGAACCGUGAGGCUUAACCUUACAACGCCGAAG
rnacentral:rRNA from 1 species